UCAUGGUCUGGAUGACUUCAGUAUACAACUGUACACUGUAUUUUUUCUCUCUUGUUUCCCAGCUGGUAGCCGUGUAUGAGGAGAUGGAGCUUCAGCAGAGGGCGGUGGCGAGUCCAGGAGGGAGUGUGGCAUCAGGCUUCUCCAGCCCUGAACCCUCAGAGCCUGAGCUCGGCCUUCUAAUGCCCGGCAGCGAGAUCGAGGUCACCUCCAGUGCUCUAAAAUCAAACACGCCUCUACUGGUCAGAAGCAGCAGUGAAUCGGUCCUGACUCCGCCUCUGGAGGCCGGCACUCGUGAGGCUGAUAACCAGAGCAGCAGACCACAGACAACGGGCACCGGCCAUGCGUUGACCGUGAGAGGUGGUGCCAUGGACAGAUUGAAGGAAGACGUUCCAACGAUCAGGCCAGGAAUGAUGUCCAUGAGGUAAGAAUAUGUGCUGUUUCUUCUUUGUUUUAUGUAUUUAUAGAGUCACCUUAUGGCAAA
rnacentral:lncRNA from 1 species